ACCCUAGAUGACCGGGACGGUUCCUUGAGUGGGAUCAAAAGGGAAUGCGGUACGAGGAAACUUCCUCCAGGCCGCGGCUGCCGCCGCAACUGUAGGCGGUGAAUCCUUCGUCACAGGCCACUGGGAAUCUCGGUCCUGGGAAGGCGACGAAGGGUAACGACCCGCGAGCCAGGAGACCUGCCGUCAACCGUGGUCACACG
rnacentral:ncRNA from 1 species